GACCAGUUCAUUGCGUCACAACUUCCUACCGAUCCCGUCCGCCGUGCACUUUCCUCAACCACAACCAUGGCUCAGGUUCCUUCUGAGUCCAGCAAGAGUGACGCUGAAACCUCGCCACCAGCCGAUAAAGCUCCACCCGAAAUCUCUAGCCCCGAAUGCUACAGCGAUCUCGUAUCCACUCGUCCAGCGAGAGGAGGGUGGGUGCAGCCGCUGGUACUGUACCAGAACUACUGGCUGACCCCCGGCAGGCUCCAGCACAUCAUCCCCGUGAAAGAGCUCUACAAGCCUCGCGCCGACGACAUCGUCCUCGUCACCUACCCGAAAUGCGGAACCACCUGGCUGAAAGCUCUCGCCUUCGCCAUCACGACCCGCAGCCGCCACGCUUUCGCCGCCCACCCUCUGCUCGCCCGGCACCCUCAGGAGCUCGUGCCGCACCUUGAGCUGCCGGCCCUGGCGGGAGACCUAGCGGACGUCGAGAAGCUAGCUGCCCUCCCCGAGGCUUCUCGCGACUCACCUACCCCUUUCCCUGCUCCCGCCGGACGUGUCCGGCUACCGCGUCGUGUACCUGUGCCGGCAUCCCAAGGACGCCUUCGUCUCGUGGUGGUUCUUCGCGAACGGCAUGCUGCGCAGAGGCUCCUCCUCCUCCUCCGUGGACCUCGACGACGCGUUGAGCAUGUUCUGCGAGGGGUUCUCGCCGUUGGGCCCCUUCUGGGAGCACUACCUCGAGUACUGGAAGGCGAGCUUGGAGAGGCCUCAGCAUAUCCUGUUCUUGAGGUACGAAGAGAUCGUGGCAGACCCGGUGAAGGUUGUCAAGACGCUUGCCGGCUUCUUCUCUGACCCGUUCACUGAGGCGGAAGAGAGAGGAGGAGUCCCCGAGCAGGUGGCGAGGCUGUGCAGCUUCGAGGUGCUCAGCGGCCUGGAGAAAAACCAAACCGGAGGUGUCGCUUUUGGAAACGAUUUAGUCAUUGGCAAGUCUACGUUCUUCAGGGAAGGCAAGGUGGGGGACUGGGAAAACCACAUGACCAAAGAGCAGGGACAGAGGUUGGAUGACGUUUUGGAGGACAAGCUUAAGGGAUCUGGUCUCGUGUUUUGAUUAAUUCAUAUAGCAUGUUGUUUGUCAUGAAUAAUCAUUCGCUCACACAUGUAGUGGUAUUUUAUGUAAUUGGAUCUUUUUUUUUUCUACAUAGAUUACGUUAUGGUAAUGCAGAAUUAUGGUGUAGCUCGAUUUAUCAUGUGCAUCUGUAUGUAAGGAAUUGAGGUCCUU